UUACUGACGAAAUGCGCGUGACAAUCACAUGCGAUAUAUGGCCCACCUAGGUAAGUAGUCCUUAAGGUAAGCAUAACAGGAAGUAUGUCUUAACGAGACCAGACAGUGACUGAGUGCUCUGAAGUGUCUUUUAUGCUGCGGUGGUGAUGAGUGCUGAUGAGUGUCAGGUGUUGCUGGUUAAUACUCAGGAGAGGGAGUGCGAUGUGAAGAGCCUGGCGUGUCUGUGACAAGUGGCCACUGGACCGCACGUCAACGGGACCACCAUAUUGUGCAGGGCAACGUUCCCUUAGCGCUCAUUACUGGAAUUGAGAAAAAUGCCUUUGUGUACUGCUUGGGGCUGUACAAAUCGCUGCACAAUUGAAUACAGGUCUAGGGGAAUGACCUUUUACAGCCCAUUGCAACCAGGGCUAGACAAGCCUCCAGGAAAGCUUAGGAGAGCCUGUCAGUUCUCACCAUUUCCAAGAGACUGAUCCUCCUCUGCCUAAUGCUGGGGAUGGAAUAACAAUCCUACUGCAGGCCAGUUUCAGGGCAUUUUCCAUUUUCAUGGUCAAGGUGUGGUGUCUCCCCAAGCACUUCAGGGAACGUGACACCACAGGAUGAGACUGUGUCGCUAUCAGCUGUUGAAAAGCCUCCAUCCCCUUUUCUGCACUUGUGUGUGACCACAGCUACCUGCCAAACUACUUUGGCAGCAUAGUGGACAAUGCCCUUGUGGACAUUUCUGGUUUUGUGGUGCGUCAGAUUUUGAGAAAGCUUCCCUGUGGUGUGUGUCGUGCUGGCUGGGUGGCAGGUGCUGUAACCUGCUUCAUUUGACCAGAACUACCACUAACUUACUCUGAAAAACAGUGGAGGGCUGAUGAUUCCUUCUGAAGGUACAGUAAAAGUGGUCAGAUCAGCACAGCAGUUCAUUCGACAGUCAUCCUCCGGGAAAGCCGUCAGAGUGUCUUUGAUCAGUCAGUUUGUCUGAGCUGAGAUUGGUUCAGAGGAUGUGUUUUUCCUCAAGGAGCACCUUCAGGAAACACAAUUUGGAAUUGACAACCAUCAUUUUUCUCUCUUGUCAUUAGUUGUGUCUGUCUUUCACAAACUAAGGAUGCACCACAUUACCAAACUGAACAAACUACCGAGUGGCAACUCAAGACAAAGCUCUAACUCCCCCUGACCCUACAAAGGAUUAGCGAUUUUAGACGAUUGAUGGAAAAUGUAUAGCCUUUUGUUGUUAUUAUUAUACCAAUACUAUAUUAUUAUUGUAUAUAUUAUUCUGCAAUUGAUAUUACAUUGUAUUUGCGAUUAUUAUUAUUAUACCAAUACUUGAGAUUGUCAAUAUAUUAUAGUUAUAAUGUAAUAUUAUUGUCUAUAUUCUGUAAAUGAUACUACGUAUUCUAUUACUAUUAUAUAGUAUUAUUCAACUAUAUGCUAUUAUCAAUA